rnacentral:rRNA from 1 species
GUAGGGUGCGAGCGUUAAUCGGAAUUACUGGGCGUAAAGCGUGCGCAGGCGGUUCGUCGUGUCCGAUGUGAAAGCCCCGGGCUCAACCUGGGAAUGGCAUUGGAAACUGGCGGGCUUGAGUGUGGCAGAGGGGGGUGGAAUUCCGCGUGUAGCAGUGAAAUGCGUAGAGAUGCGGAGGAACACCGAUGGCGAAGGCAGCCCCCUGGGCUGACACUGACGCUCAGGCACGAAAGCGUGGGGAGCAAACAGGAUUAGAUACCCUGGUAGUCCACGCCCUAAACGAUGAUCACUGGGUGUUCGGGGAGCGAUCUCUGAGUACCGUAGCUAACGCGUGAAGUGAUCCGCCUGGGGAGUACGGUCGCAAGAUUA